CCUACGGGUGGCAGCAGUGGGGAAUAUUGGACAAUGGGGGAAACCCUUAUCCAGCGACGCCGCGUGAGGGAAGAAGGUUUUCGGAUUGUAAACCUCUGUCAGUGGGGACGAUAAUGACGUUACCCACGGAGGAAGCCACGGCUAACCACGUGCCACCUGCGGCGGUAAGACGUAGGUGGCAAGCGUUGUCCGGAAUUACUGGGUGUAAAGGGAGAGUAGGCGGGAUGUCAAGUCAGAAGUGAAAAUUAGGGGCUCAACUCAUAACCUGCUUUGGAAACUGAUAGCCGUGAGUGAAGGAGAGGCAAGCGGAAUUCCGGGUGUAGCGGUGAAAUGCGUAGAGAUUAGGAGGAACACCAGUGGCGAAGGCGACUUUCUGGACAGUAACUGACGUUGAGGCACGAAAGUGUGGGGAGCGAACAGGAUUAGAUACCCGAGUAGUC
rnacentral:rRNA from 1 species